rnacentral:rRNA from 1 species
GACGAACGCUGGCGGCGUGCUUAACACAUGCAAGUCGAACGGAAAGGCCCUGCUUGUGUGGGGUGCUCGAGUGGCGAACGAGUGAGUAACACGUGAGUAACCUGCCCUUGACUGUGGGAUAACGGCAGGAAACUGGGGCUAAUGCCGGAUAGGCACUCCUGCUGCUGGGGGGGGGUGGGAAAGUUUCGGAGGAUGGGGAUGGACUCGCGCCUUAUCAGGUUGUGGUUGGGGUAGUGGCUUACCAAGGCUUUGACGGGUAGCCGGCCUGAGAGGGUGACCGGCCACAUUGGGACUGAGUUACGGCCCAGACUCCAACGGGAGGCAGCAGUGGGGAAUUUUGCACAAUGGGCCGAAGCUUGAGGCAGCACCGCCGCGUGCGGGUUGACGGCCUUCGGUUUGUAACCCGCUUUCGCAUGUGACGAGGCGUGAGUGACGGUAAUGGGUGAAGAAGCACCGGCUAACUACGUG